GGCGGACGGGUGAGUAACACGUGGGUAACCUGCCCUAAAGUGGGGGAUAACAUUUGGAACACAGAUGCUAAUACCGCAUAAAACCUAACACCGCAUGGUGUAGGGUUGAAAGAUGGUUUCAGGCUAUCACUUUAGGAUGGACCCGCGGUGCAUUAGUUAGUUGGUGAGGUAAAGGCUCACCAAGACCGUGAUGCAUAGCCGACCUGAGAGGGUAAUCGGCCACACUGGGACUGAGACACGGCCCAGACUCCUACGGGAGGCAGCAGUAGGGAAUCUUCCACAAUGGACGGAAGUCUGAUGGAGCAACGCCGCGUGAGUGAAGAAGGUUUUCGGAUCGUAAAACUCUGUUGUUGGAGAAGAAUGUAUCUGAUAGUAACUGAUCAGGUAGUGACGGUAUCCAACCAGGAAGCCACGGCUAACUACGUGCCAGCAGCCGCGGUAAUACGUAGGUGGCAAGCGUUGUCCGGAUUUAUUGGGCGUAAAGCGAGCGCAGGCGGUUUCUUAAGUCUGAUGUGAAAGCCUUCGGCUCAACCGAAGAAGUGCAUCGGAAACUGGGAAACUUGAGUGCAGAAGAGGACAGUGGACUCCAUGUGUAGCGGUGAAAUGCGUAGAUAUAUGGAAGAACACCAGUGGCGA
rnacentral:rRNA from 1 species